GACGUAGGCAGCAAGCGUUGUUCGGAAUUACUGGGCGUAAAGAGUGUGUAGGCGGUGCUCCAAUGUUCUGGUGUGAAAUCUCCCGGCUUAACUGGGAGGUGACAUUAGAAACUGGAAUGCUAGAGGAUGGGAGAGGUAAGCGGAAUUCCUGGAUGUAGCGGUGAAAUGCGUAAGAUAUCAGGAGGAACACCUGUGGUGUAGACAGCUUACGUGGAACCAUUUCUGACGCUGAGACACGAAAAGCGUGGGUAGCAAACAGG
rnacentral:rRNA from 1 species